CAAGCAAGCUGGACAGCCGCGGGGGCAGGCCGAAAGGCCGUCCGUGAGGAAAGUCCGGGCUCCAUAGGGCAAGAAUAACGGGUAACGCCCGCCGAAGGCGACUUCAGGACAAGUGCAACAGAGAGAUACCGCCCGGCUCCGGCCGGGUAAGGGUGGAAAGGUGAGGUAAGAGCUCACCCGCCGGCGCGGAAGUGUCCGGUGCUGUAAACUCUAUUCGGAGCAACACCGUGGAGGGGAACAUGACUGGCCCGGUCUCCCCGGGGAGGUGGCUGGAGCGUGCCGGCAACGGUACGCCUAGAUAGAUGGCUGUCAAAACAGAACCCGGCUUACAGGCUUACUUGCACC
rfam:Firmicutes bacterium CAG:114 genomic scaffold, scf148